UGGCGACCGGCGGACGGGUGCGUAACGCGUAUGCAACCUGCCUGACACAGGGGGAUAAUCCGAAGAAAUUUGGUCUAAUACCCCAUAAUACCGAUAUAGGCAUCUAUGUUGGUUGAAAGCUUUGGUGGUGUCAGAUGGGCAUGCGUUGUAUUAGCUAGUUGGUGAGGUAACGGCUCACCAAGGCGACGAUACAUAGGGGGACUGAGAGGUUAACCCCCCACACUGGUACUGAGACACGGUCCAAACUCCUACGGGAGGCAGCAUG
rnacentral:rRNA from 1 species